rnacentral:rRNA from 1 species
CCUACGGGAGGCAGCAGUAGGGAAUCUUUCACAAUGGGCGAAAGCCUGAUGGAGCAACGCCGCGUGCAGGAUGAAGGCCUUCGGGUUGUAAACUGCUUUUAUAAGCGAGAAAUAUGAUGGUAACUUAUGAAUAAGGAUCGGCUAACUACGUGCCAGCAGCCGCGGUCAUACGUAGGAUCCGAGCAUUAUCCGGAGUGACUGGGUGUAAAGAGUUGCGUAGGUGGCAUAAUAAGUAGCUAGGGAAAUCUGGUGGCUCAACCAUUCAGACUAUUAGCUAAACUGUUAAGCUCGAGACCGUUAGGGGUAACUGGAAUUGCUAGUGUAGGAGUGAAAUCCGUAGAUAUUAGAAGGAACACCAAUAGCGUAGGCAGGUUGCUGGGACGGUUCUGACACUAAGGCACGAAAGCGUAGGGAGCAAACGGGAUUAGAUACCCGUGUAGUC